AUUGAACGCUGGCGGCAGGCCUAACACAUGCAAUUCGAACGAGUGGCGUACGGGUGAGUAAUGUCUGGGAAACUGCCUGAUGGAGGGGGAUAACUACUGGAAACGGUAGCUAAUACCGCAUACCAUCGGAUUUGCCCAGAUGGGAUUAGCUAUUAGGUGGGGUAACGGCUCACCUAGGCGACGAUCCCUAGCUGGUCUGAGCGGAUGACCAGCAACACUGGAACUGAGACACGGUCCAGAUUCCUACGGGAGGCAGCAGGGGGGAAUAUUGCACAAUGGGCGCAAGCCUGAUGCAGCAAUGCCGCGUGUAUGAAGAAGGCCUUCGGGUUGUAAAGAACUUUCAGCGAGAAGGCGUUACUCGCAGAAGAGGCACCGGCUAACUCCGUGCCAGCAGCCGCGGUAAUAC
rnacentral:rRNA from 1 species